GUCAGGGGACUACGAGCAAAGCUUAAAACCCAAAGGACUUGACGGUACCCCAUAUCCCCCUAGAGGAGCCUGUCCAAUAAUCGAUAAUCCCCGUUUAACCUCACCACACCUAGCUUAUCAGCCUGUAUACUUCCGUCGCAAGCCUACCACAUGAGUGAGCUUAGUUAGCCUAAUGUCUACACAUAAAUGUGCUUAUCAACAGUACGUCAGGUCAAGGUGCAGCAAACGCUGUGGAAAAGAUUGGCUACACUUUUUAAUUUAAAAGAAACGGAAGACAAAAUGAAACUUUGUCAGAAGGUGGAUUUAGUAGUAAAAGGGAGAUAUCAAAUUCCUUUAAACUUGGCACUGGGGUGUGU
rnacentral:rRNA from 1 species